GUACUUACCUGGCAGGGGAGAUACCAUGAUCACGAAGGUGGUUUUCCGAGGGCGAGGCUUAUCCAUUGCACUCCGGAUAUGCUGACCCCUGCGAUUUCCCCAAAAAAGAAAAGAAAAGAAAAGA
rnacentral:snRNA from 1 species